CUUACUCUUCUUGUGAGCUGAGUGCAGGCGAACCCACAGCUUCUUCAAUGGAGAGACGAGGGACUGCAGCCACCCCAUCUGGAGAAGUAGUGGGUGUGGCUCAUGGUAGGUGAAAGAUGAAGGGGAAAUAAGAAAGGCCGGGCCAAUCAUGCGUAUCACAUUUCCUCUUGGUGCAUUGUCUCCAUCACAUCUUUUUCUCUUGUAGAAGAAGAAGCCACCUCACCAAUCAGCAGUUCAUUUUACACUUUCACAGACUUUCUUUUUUUGUAUCCUUUCCCCAUAAAACAUCCAUAAUUCCUUGUGAUUGAAGCUAUAUGCACGUUGCGUUCUCCCUGUAGCUCUGAGUUUUGGGAUUAGAGUUAUUUGUGGGGUUUCCUUGCCAUUUUCGGCUCCCUCUUGUGUUCGAAGAUAACAAAAACUCCCUUGAAAAGUCUGCCUCAAGCAUCCAUCUCCUAUUCGUCCACUUGUCCCACUGGGUUUUUCUUCUAGUUUAUGGACAAAAGUAUUAUUUUUAAGGUACUCUUUUGGAGAGAAGACCCUUGGGAGUGGGCCUAUGGCAAACAUAGAUGUUACUGGAAGGGAACUAGUUCCCCAGUUUAGUUGGAUCACAGAAAAGCUUUUGCUAGGGAAGAAAAAACUCAUUUUUCGAAUCUAAGUUGAAGGGCGUUCUGAGCUUACGAGAUUUUUUUUGUUACCUUCCAAUCACCAAAAAAAAAAAAAAAAAAAAACUCUAUAACUUUAGCCUUUAAUGUGUAUGGCACUAUGAAGUUUUAUUUGUUAAUCAUAAUUUUAUACUUAUGUCCCUUAACUUAUUUCUGAGAUAAAAGUACUUUUCAGAAGUCAUGUUUUUAGAACUUAUUUUAUGUUCUUCAUUGUGUUGUGUAAGAUGAACUCCAAAUUAAUAAACUUAGAAUUUGAAUUUAUAUUAAUUUCUGUUGGUGGGUCUGCCAGAUUUGACUUGUUGGAAAAGUGAUGCAUGCUGAACAUGCUCAAGCGAUGAUUAUAAUAUUCCUGUAGGUAACAUUACUGAGAAGCCCGUAGAAUUUGCAACCAAUAUCCCUUAAGGUUUCCUUUCCAGUGGAAAAGAUGAUGAGAACAGACCAUUGGAUAGGUCAUUAUUUUGAUCGAUCAAUCAUGAAAUCCCCGCCUUUCCUCAAAUUCUAUCAAAAAAUGUGCGAUUGUUUGGUGGAAGUUUCAUGGAGUACUCAAUGUUCAAAUUCAAUCAUUUUCAUAGGAAAAUGUAAGUACUUUGGCAAUGGGUAUGAUUGAAGCCUUGUAAACUUCUGAGUUCAUGGGUUUCUGAAAAGGAAAAGAAAAUGCGUUUUUUCAUAUGUAUGUAAAGAUGCAUGUACAUUUCUUUUUCUUUCUAUUAAAAAAUCCUUCGUUUGGAACACAA